rnacentral:rRNA from 1 species
GAGUUUGAUCAUGGCUCAGAUUGAACGCUGGCGGCAUGCCUAACACAUGCAAGUCGCGCGGAGUGUAGCAAUACACUUAGCGGCGGACGGGUGAGGAAUACAUAGGAAUUUGCCCUUAAGUGGGGGAGUAGCCAGGGGAAACGUCUGGGUAAUACCGCAUGAUGUCGAGAGACCAAAGCCGGGGACCGCAAGGCCUGGCGCUUUUGGAGAAGCCUAUGUCUGAUUAGCUAGUUGGUGAGGUAACGGCUCACCAAGGCAACGAUCAGUAGCUGGUCUGAGAGGACGAUCAGCCACACCGGAACUGAGACACGGUCCGGACUCCUACGGGAGGCAGCAGUGGGGAAUAUUGGACAAUGGGCGCAAGCCUGAUCCAGCAAUGCCGCGUGUGUGAAGAAGGCCUCGGUUGUAAG